UCUUACCCUCCCCCUCCUGGUCCGGCGAAGUAGCCGCGUCCAGAAAACGAACGCCGUCCUAGCCAAAGUGCCUGAGAGAGGCGGCUCUGCCUGAGGUUUUGCCACUGGUGUCCCGCUGCGGGGGACGUUUUCGACCUUGGAGGAGCCAGCCUGCCCUUUGUACUCAGGCCCUCUGUCCUGGAGAGGACCACGCCGAUCUCAAGCAAAGGCCGACAGCCGAGGAAUGGCCAUUUAUUGUCUGCCUUUUCCAAGCAGUAUUUGGAGCCCGGUCCUGGACGGAGACGAACCUGGCCAAGGAUCAUACAGGGGAAACGUCGAAGGCACUAAAAUGAAAAUGCUCUCUCCGCUUUCCACCCCCAGCUUCUGAGGCUGUCGCCCUCUGUCUGUGCCCUGCGUUUCCGUUCCACUCCCACUUUGGGGUUGCAGUAGCGCACCGCUGCCCAAGGCACCCAGCACCCCAAGCAAUCUGACCGCACUAAGCGAACCGAGUGAUGGGGCCGAGGCGCGGCGAAGUAGCCCUAUACCAGGUCGUACUUCAGCCGCAAGUCCCCUUCCCGAAGAGAUGGACCCGCCCCAGCGCGCUUUAGCCGUCGCUCUUAGAAGCCUCUCGGCCGCCGCGCGCUGCUGCUCCGGGCGUGAGCCUUCGGCCCAAAGGUCCUACCGGGGCCUUUUUGCACUUACUUCCAGCUUCUUUUCUAACGCUUAAUUUUUAAUCCAAUCUCAAAACUAAAACAAAGCCCAAGAGUUUGGUUGGGGCUGGAACACGCGCAGGGGCCCAAUUCUGCCUUUGCCCCUCGGACCACAACCGGAAGUCACCGGGAGAAAGCUCUGCCGCCGCGCUAGCCGAAAUCCGUCCAAGGUCAGAGGAAUCCGCACAGCCAGUUUUGAGGCCAAUGCGUGUUGAGCGCUCCCGACGUGCCGCACGCUGUUCUACAGCUCGAUGUCAGGAAAACGCCAGGAGCUCCGGGUAUGUAACUUACAAAUGAAGACCCAGCCUUCUGCCCCUUGCUUCAAGAAACCAAAACAGCUGCACUGAAUCCUGAAUUUCUUCAGCAUGGCGUAAGCAUGAUUGCCACGGAGAGAGCGCACUUCGACAGAGCAGUGCCAAAGGAUGCUGGAGGACAAAAGAAAUAUUUGGACGUCAGCGCUGAUUUAUAUUUUUGGAAGAGCUACGUUUCCUUUUCUGAAGAGAAGCAAGCGCGCCCCAUAUCCUGAGCUCAGCAGGGAGGACAGGAGGGGAGUUUUGAUGCUCCAGGAAGUUCAUCCAUCGCGGCGCGGCGCGCAGGGCCCGGCGCCCGCGGAGUUCGCUGCCCUUGGAGAUAUUUAUUUAUUUGGGGGGAGGGGAGGGCAAAGGGAGACGAGACAAGUCAAACACGUGAAGAAAAACCGACCACGGCUGAAUUGGGACCUCCAGGGCGCCUCCCGACCUGCCGCCCCACAGCGGGCCGGCGAAGCUCCUACGUCGGGGGGCGUUGGAGACAAAUCCUCGCAACCUCCGGACGCGUUUGGCUGAUGAAUUCCGCAGCCCACCGCGAGCGUCCUCCCUCGUUCAGUGCCUGAGGCUAACCUCUCCGGACCCAAGGGCGCCUCCCAGGUGGUCCUGUCCCUCUGGCUGGCUGUGCGCUGAGCGCGUGGGGCCCAGCCACCUUCCUCCUGAGCCUGGUUAAACAGGCAGAAGCAGUGGGCGAGGGGCGCCUCAAAAGCGUGGUGCCACAGAGUAGGGGGCGCGCGGGCCCCGCGGCUGGAGGCACAGCAAGGUGGGCGCAGAAGUAAUGCCGAGCUCAAAAUAUCCUGAGAGGCCCUGGCUUCACUGUUUUGUUUCAUCAACGGGGACUUCCCUCACAGCAGCACAAGUGGAUGCAAAAUUUCCGUGCUGAGGGGCACCAGCACCCACACUUGCUUCUGCCUUUUUUUCUCCCAACACUGGGAAUGUGUGGGACAGGCUUCUCUAAUUUUCCUUCGCUGCUGGGAGUCCUCUCAUUCCUGCCCCGUCGGAAGGGCGCACCGACUGUGUCUUUCCCAGCACUGCCCCUUUUCUCUUGUUGCUGCAGGCAUCAGAGCUGCCUUUUAGGAGGAAUGGCAAUGCCUACGAUGGAAACCUUCUUCUCAAGCCCCACCCAUAAACUCAGUAGGCGGUGGAAGAAGCCUAAGGGUGGUCCACUGGUCCCCUUGAGCUCUCAAGGUGCCCUGCCUGGUACCAAUGCGCUGGCACCCGGGUCAGGGCCUGAGGGUAGAUGGGUCCUGUUCCUGGAAGUAUACCAAAGUUGUGUCUCCCAACUGAAGGGCUCUAGGGCCUCGAAAUCUGAGAAGUGUGGAGACAGGAAGAGGCGCAGUCGCCAUAUGGGGCUCUGGAAGAUUGGACCCCUUUUUACUUCCUCCUCAAGCACCUCAGACUAGGCCAAGCCAGGUAUCAAAUCAGGUCUACCUCCAGGCCCAGGAGAUGGGGGCUUUCCGCGGAUCUCUCAGGAAGGUGGCUAUUAAAAGCCCUGCCCAGGACAGGCGUUUGGAGAGCGGAAGAAUCUAUCCAAAUAAACAUUUGGAAUUGGGUGGCUGGUGUUCAUUCAAGCCCGGAGGUCUAGGGGUUUCUGGACCGAGGAAGAAGAGCAGACACUGAGAAGGGUGUAAAAUUCCCACCAUUAACCCUCCUUGCCAAGUUCCCCUCUCCUGAGCGCCUUCUCCUGGCCUCCUGGCCUCCUGGCCAGAUUUUCUACUAUAAAUUAAAAUUUCUAGGGGGGCCUCUGCGUCGUGCAGGCUCCUGGUCUUCCUUGGUUUCCUCAAACAAGCUGACACUCCCUGAGCCUCAGCAUUGAGUUCCCACCGUCCCCAUCUACAAAGGCCUCGCAGGAGCUAGAGAAUCCUCUACACAUAUUAACUUUGUACCAAAACACAGGGUGAAUACAGUGGUCAGUUACAGGCCGAUUUGGGAAGAGGCUUUGCUCCGGCCGGGCUGACGGAAGGAAGGGAGGGGCAAGCAGAGCUAGAGUGUCCCGAGGAGGAGAGGUCUUGGAUGGCGGUAAACAGUGUCGGUGCGGAUGCGUCUCUCCGGUGGGUAACUGGUUUAGUCUAAGCCAUUUCAUGUAAAACCCACGAAGCAGAGGAAGUAUGCUAAGAACAUAAAAUUUAAACCGCAAUAAUGAAGAGAUUUCCUAGAAUGAAACGCCGAUUACAAAACAAAAUCGGAGAAACCCAAGCUUCCCGAAGUUUACAUUCCCCAGCGCAGGAGCAGGGGCGGGGCCUUGGGGUUUGGAGCGGGAAAGGAACCCGCAGCCCAGGCGGACACAGUCAACCAAAGAGGGUCAGAGCACCGAGGAUGGACAGAGGGCGGUUGCACUCGACGCCCUGUAUUUCUGGUUAAGCAAGGAGCAGCCUGGGCUCAUCUAUAUUCAUUUUAACGAACCAUAAUACCUUUCCUUCCAGUAAGAAAAAAUAAAUCUAGAUUUUUGUUGUUUAUAAGGCAAUGGAAGUAAGGAAGAGCUCACCACCAUAAGAAAGGACUUCGGAGAGAGGGAACUGUCCUAAGCAAGGAUAUGUUGCAGAGACAACUUUCCUCUUAAACUGUCUGCUAAACAGAAAUUCAGAUAUUCUUGCCAGGGAUAAAGAAUUUGACAUGACUUGUUACUGCAUGCAUUCUUACCCAGGAGAUCUGUAUAAAUCAGUAAUUAAAACAAAGUUGAGAGGUUUCACUGCAAUGUGUGGAAGCAGCACUGGAUUGGGAUCCCAGACCCCCCCCCCCCACUAUAGGCCAGCUUUGUUAUUUCCCCAGGUGUGACUUGCAGUGAGUCAUCUGAUCUUUCUGAACCCCAGUCUCCUUAUGGCUAAGCGGAGAUAACUGUACUUAGGUCAGAUGGUGGUGACAUGAUGUGAGUGGAAAAGCUUCUACCUGUGAAGUCUAUAAGGAACAAAUUCGGGGGUUAGUAUUUCUUGACUUGGGGGUCCCUGUCAGGGGAAGUUUCCAUAGGCAAAAGUGGGGUCUCCAAGAAAGAAUUUCAGAGAAAAGCCUCUUCCUGCUCAGAUAACUCAGGUCACCAACCUCCAUAUUUUUUGUGGAGUGCAGAGUAGUAUUUAGAUCCCCGGAGAGAGAAAAAGGCUUCAAGACAGCUGAGCUGCUCCUGGCUGGAACUGUAACUACAAUGCCUACAGUCUUUCUAAGACCUGUCUAGCCUCCUGUAACACUCAGCAAAGUAUAAGUGGUAUUUCUUGCAAGUUUGAAGAGUUUAAGUAAAAUGGAUACCAUUGUCACUUGGAUUGGAUAGGAAAGGGAGCCUUUAAAAAUCCCUGCUAUUUUAGCCUGCUUGGAUUUUAGGGUAGGUGGUUUUUAUUCUUCAGUCUCUGGGUCCUAAAACCUUUUAGGGUCUGAGAUCCAAUGUACAUAGAAUUCCUAGGUGUGGACAG